rnacentral:lncRNA from 1 species
UUCUCUGUUUGGAAGAUCCUCUAAUUUCUUUUUCGCCAUAUAAACUCCCGCAGCUAAUGUCAUUCUAAAAACUUCUGCAUGUAAACUAUUGUCUUUGAAGUUUGUAAUUUUCUAAUUCAUCCCACUUCCAUCCUUGAGCUUGUCUUUGAAUUUGCAGUUAUAUUAGCAUGGUAUUCCAGACUUGCACUAAAUAAGGGCACAUAAAAAAGAGAUGUUCAGCAUACUCAUUAUCCUUGAUGUGUAGUCCACACUUCUCAUCCUCCAAGCAUCUUCAUCUGGCUAACCUUCCCUUUGUAAACAGCUUGCUAUAUAGGAUAAGUUGACCAUUUAGGAGGGUAUAUUUUGUUGUAAAUCAGCCUUGUCCAAUUAACCUUCUGGUAAGCUCUUUUUAGCUGAAGAGUUUGCUGAUAGUAAACUUAUCUGAUCUUAGUACAUCCAUUUCUCACCUACCAACUUCCUCAAAGUAUUUGUGAACUUCGAUGAUAACAGAUAAAAAUAUAUGAAAAUGGUCAAUUUGUAGUCCAACGAAAAGAAUCACUCUUUUCGCCUCCAAACAGUUCAUUAAUUUUGGCAAAACUAUGAUACUAUAUUUUGUCCCCAAUCAAAAUUAUGAGUCGGAUGAAUUUCAACAAUUAGCUAGUGAUCCAUCAAGACAUUUGACUAAAAAUUCAACAUGCAGCUCAAAAGACUGAACCAUUCUAAUCUACAUAUUCAUCAGCUAACGAAACAAUCAGGCUCCAAAAGUUAAAGAUAUUUGAAAGUGUUAUCUGAGUUAAAAAUACCAUUUUUUAUAAUCUACAAUAUUUACCACCAAAACAACUUAGGCUCCAAUAAAUUGAAGGAACAACUAACCAGAAAGGCAAAACAACAACCUGAGUAGAACAAUCUGGGAAAGAGAAUAACAAUGUGCAUUCUUUAGGAGCUUAUUUCCGUCCCUGAGUUCUUCUUUGCGGGAGAUUCUAAAAUAGAGCUCAGAUUUUUCAAUCUUUCCUGCUGAAUCUCACUCGGGGACCUGUAAACACUAUCUAUUAUAUUGAAGUUUGGUUCAUUUUUUAAUUUGUGAUGGAUAUGAUCAAGCACAUAAUCCUGCAUCUUCAAAUACACCAUGUCUACAAUACAUUAUGUCACAUAUUUAAAAUUUUACCAACAAAAAUAGAACAAUAUUAACCCUAUCAAUUGAAGGUUUAACGACAUAAUAUGUUCACCAUGAACUUGUGCAGUUAGAAAUAAAAUAUUUAAAUAUUAUUGCUCGUUGUUCUUAUCGAUGAUUCGGUCAUUUACUUCAAAGAAUAUGCAAUUAUUGUCUUGUGCGGGAAAUUAUAUUACUUUUCUUUCCUUUUAAAUUAUCCCAAAAUUAAUCAUAUUAGUCACUAAUAUGUUCUCCUUAAAUAGUUUUGAGAUUUGCAGUAAAAAACAUUCUCGAGUGACUUUUAUGCAUGCCAUAUCAUAAAUUUAUAAAGCUAAGAUUAAAUGGAACAUGUGAAUGAGGGUUAGAACUUAGAAGAUUCACUACCAGCCAAAUGAGAUAUAGUGAAUAAAGUUUUCAAGAAUCAACUUCAAUAUCUUCUGCUUGUCGGUCCUUAUUCACCAAUGAAAAUAUUAAAAUUCCUACAUAAGAGAUCAAUUUAUUUUAAUAAUUUUUAGCGAAUCAAAAUUAAAGACAAUUUAAGCAUAGUAGAUUGCAACUAUCUAAAAAAAACAUACUACACUAAAUGUGUUCCUUGAAACUUAACUUCAUUUACCUCAGCAUGGCUGAUAUCAUAAUAUACUACUUGUAAGGCAUUCUACAAAUGGCUUCCGGACAAUUAGGAUAGAAACCACUCCAUCCAAUAUAAAUUAUAUUCAAAGUUGGGAAAACGAGGUCUGGUUCAAUCAAGGUAUAGCUUAACGGAAUGAAAGAGAAUUAGUGUAUUAAGCAAGUAGGAAAAAGCAGAAAAAGGGACUUCAGACGUUGUUCUCAAGUCUAGUUAACGAAAGCCCCAAGUCACCAAUAACAUUGAGCAAAACUCUUUCCUGAAGCAACUCACUCCAAAUGAACAAAUUGUCAGUCAUAUCAUCAAACAAUUAGGGUGCAUAUUCCACUUCAAUAGAUUUAACUGUUGGAUAGUGAUUUAACUUUCAACAUUCAAUUACUCCAGAUUCAAACUUCAUUAACCCAUGGAACUGAAUCUAAAAUCAAAACUUUACAAAUCUAUUCGAACAAACGUAGAAAUCAAAGAAAAAUUGAAGCUCAAAAGAAAAUCAACGAAAAAUAGAGAGACAACAAGAAUUACCUCAAAAUUGCAGUAAUACUCGGAGACGAUUUGAAUAUGAAAAGCCAAUACUUAUGGGAGAUGAAAAACUUCAUAAAAAUAUAGUUCUUGGAGAAUCGGGAAGUUUUCCAAUUUUUCGUCUGGGAAACUCUGCAAGAUGAAGAACCUAUAGUGGAUGAGAGAAUGUGAUGAAGUAUCGAUGGAUGACAACACAAGAAAAUGGUGG